UACGGAGGGUGCGAGCGUUGUCCGGAAUCACUGGGCGUAAAGGGCGCGUAGGCGGCCUGGUAAGUAGGGGGUGAAAUCCUGCGGCUUAACCGCAGGGCUGCCUUCUAAACUGUCAGGCUCGAGCACGGUAGAGGCAGAUGGAAUUCCCGGUGUAGCGGUGGAAUGCGUAGAGAUCGGGAAGAACAUCAGUGGCGAAGGCGGCCUGCUGGGCUGUUGCUGACGCUGAGGCGCGACAGCGUGGGGAGCAAACAGG
rnacentral:rRNA from 1 species